rnacentral:rRNA from 1 species
UACGGAGGGCGCAAGCGUUGUUCGGAAUCACUGGGCGUAAAGCGCGCGUAGGCGGCUUGGCAAGUCGGGUGUGAAAUCCCUAGGCUCAACCUCGGAACUGCAUUCGAAACUGCAUCGCUGGAGUCCGGGAGAGGGUGGCGGACUUGCCGGUGUAGGGGUGAAAUACGUAGAUAUCGGAAGGAACAUCAGUGGCGAAGGCGGCUUCCUGGUCCAGCACUGACGCUCAGGCACGAAAGCGUGGGGAGCAAACAGG